rnacentral:lncRNA from 1 species
GAGCCUUUGCGCGCUCCCGCGACUAGUCACAAAUCGUGGCAGGGGAUAACUACUUUGGCACCACACCUGUACGGUUCCUGGAUAGAAUUAUAUCGGUAGUUCCAUCAACUUCCUCUUUUUCUUCUUCUUUUGUGCUGUGUGUUAUGGAACAGCGACGCCUAGAGCUCUAACAUGCAAAUACACCCAGUAGUUCAACAGGGAAACAUUUAGCCACAACAACUGCAGAGGAUGUGAACAGUUUCCACAGCAGAAGUCAGAUGUGUUCCAUCUUCGUGUACAAAAACCAAGACGAGGGAGGAGGAUCAGCCAGCCACUGACGGGAAACCAAGCAACAGGAGCGUAUGAGCAUGCUGUCAUGCACGUCUCAGUUUCUACUGAAGCCUUCUGAUGCAUCCAAACGGGUUCAGGAGGGAGGAGCAUCGACGCCCCUCUCUUUCUGUCAUAAAUAAGUGAAACAAACCAAAACCAACAGAAAUAUUUAGACACAAACAAAGUAUUUUUAAACGUUCUCUUGUGAAGGACCCCCGCUUCACCAGUCCGGUCCGGGUCUGGUGGUGUGUGCGGUGGCGGGUCGGGACUGCACUCAGACCCCUCCGGGAGAGGCUGAUGGUUCAAUGGUCACACGUCCUCCCCGCCCGCACCGCCAUCACUAAUUCCUCCAUGUUGCUGUACGACGGAGCUGCGCACUCGGGGGUGAAGAGCAUCAUUUUUAGCUCCUCCCCUAGAUGAAGCAAGCCUCGACACGCGCUUGGCGGAAGCUCCUCCCCCACUACUCGACACUCGCCUCGAUACAGAACGUCACAUCACUAUUUCCAACCACCAAAAUGCGGUAGGAGACGCUGUAUUUUCAACAGUUAUGUCAUCUUUAGAUGAUGAUGCAGUCUGGUUCGGAGCCUUUUUCUUCGAUACAGGUGGCUUACUUGGAGUUAGCGACAGCGGCGGAAAUGGUUCCUCACAGACGUCGGUCACCAUGCCAUUAGCAUUUAAAUAGUCGCUAGCUAGCGCCCGAGCUAACUCCAGCAAUGUCGGAUAUUCACGUUUUUCACCAUGGCGAUCACAAAAGUUCAGAAAAAAUAUUCAAGAGUAAACUUUACAAAGUAAUGUUGGUUUUCACAGUUUUCCAAUCAAAGUAGAUGCGAAGCAAAGCAAACAACAACACGUAUGUUUCCCAGCAUGGAAUGCGGCUCAAAUUGUAUUUUUGUAAAAGAAAAACCCUUCAAAAUCACACUUAUUUUUCGUUAUAUUUUAUUUAUAAGUAAC